rnacentral:lncRNA from 1 species
UACACUAGAUUUAUAUUCAUUAAAUAAAAGUUAAAAAAAAGAAAAAACAAACAAAGACACAAGAUAUUAAUAUAUAGGACAGAGAUAUUGUAACCCAAAUAGCGUGGUACUCUCAUAAAACCAGACAAAGGACUAAUAGAAUAGAGAUCUCAGAAAUUAAUCUGCCCAUCGCAGCCAACUGAUCUUUGACAAGGUUAGCACAAACAUACACUGAAGAAAGUACAGCCUCCUCAGUAAGUGGAGCCAGGGAAGCUGGACAUCCAUGUGCACAAGACCGAAUCUUGUCCCAGGUCUCACACUGUACAAAAAUCAACUCCAAAUGGGUCGCCAGUCUGAAUGCUCAACCUGAACCUAUGGAACUGCUAGAAGGAAACACAGGGGAAACAUUUCGAGGUACUUGGAUAGGCAAAGAUUCAUGGACAAUUAUUCAGCCAUAAACAAGAACAAAAUCAUUAUAUUUACAGCAAAAAUGUAUUGAACUAGAGAUCGUUAUGUUUUGUAAAGUAAUUCAGACAUAAAAAGACAAACACCAUAUGUUCUCUGUCAUAUGUGGAAGUUUAGAAGGUAGCCAAUUUGAAAAAAUAAAUAAAUGUUGUAGCAUAUAUAUAUAUAUAUCAAUAAACUACUGCAACAUGGAAACAUAUUGUGAUAUCCCUAUAUCCAAAGAUGGAAUGGAAAAUGGUUAUGAUGUCAAAACUCUGCAUGUAUUUCAAAUUUUUUGUGGCAAAGUAUAUUUAUCUUUCGAUUUCAUUUGCCAUGAACCAUUGUAAGUGCCCUCACAUAUGUUGUUAUAUAAUAUACAUAGAUAUGUUAUAAAUAUAUAUAAUACAAUGUAUAUAACUUAAUACAUAUGGCAGUUUCCUUCCCCUGUUAAAUUUUUUAUGUCUAUUUUUGUGCUUUUAUAGUUUUGGAGUGAACUCUAGUAACAGUGGUCUGUCAAAAUCCUUCGGCAUUUUUAUUGCAACUACAUGAACUUACAGGACAGUUUGGGAAUCAGCAGUCAGUAUUACAAUCAAGCACACAGCAUGUCUCUCCAUUUGACAUCAACCAGACCCCAGAGCCACUCAUCAAAUCUCCAAGCUGGGAGAGAUCUGAGAGAGAGGCAUUUUGCAGGACUCAGCAAUGAGACACAGACCGGUGUUGGAAGAAAGAAGCAUUUCCCAGUUGCACCUCAAGAAGUCUUCAUUGUCAAGAGUGAACAUUCGCUGGAGUUGAUUACAGAAUCCUUGGACUCCACACUCUCUGGCGAUAAAAACACCCCUGCUGUAGUUGGAUGGCUCUCCACCCGCCGCCUCACCUCUGCUUUGCUUGGUCUCCUUGUACUCUGUGAUUUCGUAUUUCUUUUGAUUUCUUGAUUCAGCCUGGCCAUAUGUCCAGAGUGACUUUGUAAACCCAGUCUGGGCUGAACCCCAGGCUGCAAGUUGGAAUCCCUCUGGGCCUGUGAAGCUUACUGAUCUCAGGAGAGAGAACAUUUUCUUGCCAAAUCACUGCUCUCAAAACAAACUCUGGGAUGGCAGCCUCAUUACCUUGUGCCUGCCAGUGCACCCCCAGCUGUGAUGCUCUGACUCUGAACUUCUCCUCCUCCUCCCCUGUUGAGUUUAUGUGUGUUUUAGUUCCCUCCCAAGAGGGGCUAUACUUCACUGGUAUUAAAGUGAUCAGCUCUGGAGAGUUUACAGAGUCUUCCAUUUCCCCAAAAUCAAUCUUGGAUUCCUAAACGCCCACAUGUUUAGCACUUAGGAGCUGGAAGUGGCUGCGCUGGAGGUGUUCGCCAGACCCUCUUGAAAGAGUGGCUGGGAAGGUUGAGGGACGCUUAGGGGCUCACCCAAGGCCAAGGGGCUCUUCCAUGCUAUGAGGAGUGCCCCCCUUCCAGGGCUCUCCUGCUGCUGCUGCGACUCUUCAUUGUAUUAUUUUAUCUUAUCUAAACAUUGAAAAACUUUCCCAUCGAUUUUAAACACAUGAAAGUACAUAGCAUAGUAUGCAACCUCCCCCACCAUACUCAAAUUCAACAAAUAGCAGUGACCCUCCGUUGAUCUUUUCUGUGAAUCCAUCUUUGUCAGUCUUGAUGUGGUUGAUCUUGUUUCCACUGUAGUUCAGGACCUGUCACCCCAAAACACGGCAGCUUGGCACAAUUUGGGAAAACAGCAGAAACAGGAAAGUCUCUGUGGCCUUCUCCCUUGAGGUAAGUAAUAAAACCUUGGAAGAAACUUCUGACCUUAAGCCU